rnacentral:rRNA from 1 species
UAGGGAAUUUUGCGCAAUGGGCGAAAGCCUGACGCAGCAACGCCGCGUGUGUGACGAAGCCCUUCGGGGUGUAAAACACUGUCAGUGGGGACGAAACUUGACGGUACCCACAGAGGAAGCACCGGCUAACUCCGUGCCAGCAGCCGCGGUAAUACGGAGGGUGCAAGCGUUGUCCGGAAUCAUUGGGCGUAAAGCGUUCGUAGGCGGCAUACCAAGUCUGGUGUUAAAGCCCGAGGCUCAACCUCGGUUCGGCACUGGAUACUGGUAAGCUAGAAUGCGGUAGAGGUGAAGGGAAUUCCUGGUGUAGCGGUGAAAUGCGUAGAUAUCAGGAGGAACAUCGGUGGCGAAAGCGCUUCACUGGGCCGUUAUUGACGCUGAGGAACGAAAGCCGGGGGAGCAA